rnacentral:rRNA from 1 species
GCCCGAAGCCGAUUAUCUAACCUUUUGGAAGAAGUCGNNGNAGGNGGAAUCAAUAACUGGGGUGAAGUCGUAACAAGGUAGCCGUAGCGGAAGGUGCGGCUGGAUCACCUCCUUUCUAAGGAGA